UACGGGGGGGGCAAGGGUUGUUCGGAAUUACUGGGCGUAAAGGGCUCGUAGGUGGCCAACUAAGUCAGACGUGAAAUCCCUCAGCUUAACUGGGGAACUGCGUCUGAUACUGGAUGGCUUGAGUUUGGGAGAGGGAUGCGGAAUUCCAGGUGUAGCGGUGAAAUGCGUAGAUAUCUGGAGGAACACCGGUGGCGAAGGCGGCAUCCUGGACCAACACUGACACUGAGGAGCGAAAGCCAGGGGAGCAAACGGG
rnacentral:rRNA from 1 species